rnacentral:lncRNA from 1 species
UCUGUAAAAUUAAGGGGAUUUAGAAUUUCAUGUGACACAAGUCUCUCAAUUCUCCUUUAGAAGAUGUGACCUAAUCUCUUGUGCUAUAAUGAAGCAGAAUUCUCCUUGGUUAAUUUUCUCUUUACACCUCUUGUACCAACAUGCAAGGAUUCAUUAUAAAAAGCAAUUGUAUCAAGCAAAUAAAGAUUAUCAUGCGUUGAUAAAGAACCAGAACCAACCAGAUU